rnacentral:rRNA from 1 species
AGCGAACGCUGGCGGCAGGCCUAACACAUGCAAGUCGAACGAACUCUUCGGAGUUAGUGGCGGACGGGUGAGUAACACGUGGGAACGUGCCUUUUGGUUCGGAAUAACUCAGGGAAACUUGUGCUAAUACCGAUGUGCCCUUCGGGGGAAAGAUUUAUCGCCAUUAGAGCGGCCCGCGUCUGAUUAGCUAGUUGGUGAGGUAACGGCUCACCAAGGCGACGAUCAGUAGCUGGUCUGAGAGGAUGACCAGCCACACUGGGACUGAGACACAGCCCAGACUCCGACGGGAGGCAGCAGUAGGGAAUAUUACGCAAUGGGGGAAAGCCUAACGCAGCCAUGCCGGGUGAAUGAUGAAUGUCUUAGGAUUGUAAAAUUCUUUCACCGGAGACGAUAAUGACGGUACCCGGAGAAGAAGCCCCGGCUAACUUCGUG